rnacentral:rRNA from 1 species
ACGUAGGAGGCGAGCGUUAUCCGGAUUUACUGGGUGUAAAGCGCGUGCAGGCGGUUCUGCAAGUGGGACGUGAAAGCGCCCGGCUCAACCGGGGAAGGGCAUGCGGAACUGCUGAACUAGAGGCAGGUAGAGGGGGGUGGAAUUUCGGGUGUAGUGGUGAAAUGCGUAGAGAUCCGGAGGAACACCAGUGGCGAAGGCGACGCGCUGGGCCUGACCUGACGCUAAGACGCGAGAGCAUGGGGAGCGAACGG